rnacentral:misc_RNA from 1 species
CACGUAGGAGGCGAGCGUUAUUCGGAUUUACUGGGCGUAAAGCGCGUGCAGGCGGCUAAUCAAGUUGGAUGUGAAAGCUCCCGGCUUAACUGGGAGAGGACGUUCAAAACUGAACAGCUUGAGUAUGAGAGAGGAAAAUGGAAUUCCGGGUGUAGUGGUGAAAUGCGCAGAUAUCCGGAGGAACACCAGUGGCGAAGGCGAUUUUCUGGCUCAAGACUGACACUCAGACGCGAAAGCUAGGGUAGCAAACGGG